rnacentral:rRNA from 1 species
GACGAACCGUGCGAACGUUAUUCGGAAUCACUGGCUUAAAGCGCGUGUAGGCGGCUAAGUAAGUCGGGCGAUGAAAUCCCCACGGCCUCAACCGUGGAAGUGCACGUCGAAACUGCAUAGCUAGAGUCCUGGAGAGGAAGGUGGAAUGCUUGGUGUAGAGGUGAAAUUCGUAGAUAUCAGGAGGAACACCAGUGGCGAAGGCGGCUUUCUGGACGGUAACUGACGCUG